ACCCAGCUAGUUCAGUCAGUAGAGCAUGAGACUCUUAAUCUCAGGGUGGUGGGUUUGGGCCCCAUGUUGGGUG
rnacentral:tRNA from 1 species